rnacentral:pre_miRNA from 1 species
AACAACCUCCCUCAUCUGGCAGGCAGAUCGGGGCUGCAGGCCCCGAUCUGCCUGCCAGAUGAGGGAGGGAAGC